UACAGAGGGUGCGAGCGUUGUUCGGAAUUAUUGGGCGUAAAGGGCGCGUAGGCGGUGCGGUAAGUCACCUGUGAAAUCUCCUGGCUCAACUGGGAGCUUGCAGGCGAAACUGCCGUGCUGGAGUGUGGGAGAGGUGCGUGGAAUUCCUGGUGUAGCGGUGAAAUGCGUAGAUAUCAGGAGGAACACCUGUGGCGAAAGCGGCGCACUGGGACCACAACUGACGCUGAGGCGCGAAAGCUAGGGGAGCAAACAGG
rnacentral:rRNA from 1 species